CUCAUUCUGCGGCACCGGCCGGCGGCGUGAGGAGCGCGGCGAGCGCAGGUGGCAGUGUAGAAGCCAAGAACAAAAUUUGGCAGAAAUUACUCUGUGUGCAAGAAAAUGAAGAGUGUACUCAUGACUAAGCACAGGAACCUGGAAAACCACAGGAUUGCUGGGAAGCCAUGGAGGAUGGGAUGAACUCGGAGCUGGAGCUUGAGGAUUUUUUUUGGAAGUGAUGUGUGGGAAGUUAUACUGGUAAGAUGUGUCAAAGUGGAAUUAUCACUGUGUUUAUGAAUAUAUUUAUACUCUUGCAUUUGAUGGUUGUUAUUCUAGUCUGAGAAGGUUUUUUUAUCUAAACCUUUAAAUUGCUUCUGUGAGGUUGUGGUUAUACCACAAAUAUCCACAGAUGACAAAGUCCCAUUGUGUCAGCUAUCCUGCAGUAACUGGACCUUGGCCACAGUUUUAGUUCUCCCCAGUUGUGAGGUAGGUUGCAGAAAGAAUGAUUUAUUUCACUGUUAGAAUGGCUAAGAGUGUACAUCCCAUUAGGUAUAGCCAACAGCUGUCACCAGUAAACUGUUAAAUGAUGACAGCUUGGCAUCUUGAGAUUCUGAAAUCCAAAUAAAAAUUAUUAUUUUUUUAAUCCAUUGUUUAAAAAAGCCUUCAAGAAACUACACUUCAGGUAUAGUUUUGUGGGCACCUGUACCCUGAAACUGUAAGUUCUGUGUAGAGAGGCUGUAUCUCUGUUGGUAAACAGCAAGACCCUAAUCUGAGUGAGGUUUUGUGAGUGCCUUCAUAAAGCUUUCAAAAUACUGUAUGCCUUCAUAGGGUACCUGAAGAGCUAUCGCAGUUCUCAACUCCAAUUUAAAUAUAAAGAAGUAGAUAAAUCAAGAUCUUUGGGGCAGUUCUGCAGGGGACAGCUCUUCUAACCACUUUUGGCCAUCAUGUCACUGGGUUGUCACCUGUUGCUUCUGAGUGGGGACUCACUCUGGCGUAGCUGUGGAGAAAAAGCAUCAGUACUAAUUUCUGUACAGCCCUGUAGUUCUUUUAUUAUUAUCUCUUAUUGAGCAAAACAGUUAAGUAUACUUUAAAACCUUAAAUUAAUAGACCUUAUAAAGUCAGUUGAACUGUUUAUGUAGCACAGGUCAGCAUAUGUUUAUGGCUGCUUUGAACAUUAUUGAGUUCAUUAGCUUGUGCUAACACAUUUAGAACAGAAAAUGAAAAUGUUGUUUGUCUUUGGUACAAAAUUUU